GGGAAUAUUGGACAAUGGGCGCAAGCCUGAUCCAGCAAUGCCGCGUGGGUGAAGACGGCCUGCGGGUUGUAAAGCCCUUUAGGCGGGGAGGAACGGCGUCGUGCGAACAGUGCGGCGUUCUGACGUUACCCGCGGAAUAAGCACCGGCUAACUCCGUGCCAGCAGCCGCGGUAAUACGGAGGGUGCGAGCGUUAAUCGGAAUUACUGGGCGUAAAGCGUGCGUAGGCGGUUUGGUCAGUCAGCCGUGAAAGCCCCGGGCUUAACCUGGGAAUGGCGGUUGAGACGGCUGGACUUGAGUGGGCUAGAGGAUCGUGGAAUUCCGGGUGUAGCGGUGAAAUGCGUAGAGAUCCGGAGGAACACCGAUGGCGAAGGCAGCGGUCUGGGGCCACACUGACGCUGAGGCACGACAGCGUGGGGAGCAAACAGGAUUAGAUACCCGGGUAG
rnacentral:rRNA from 1 species